AACGAACGCUGGCGGCGUGGAUUAGGCAUGCAAGUCGUGCGAGAAAGGGGUCUUCGGAUCCUGAGUAAAGCGGCGAACUGGUGAGUAACAGGUGGGUAAUGUGCCUUCAAGUGGGGGAUAACACCGGGAAACCGGUGCUAAUACCGCAUGUGAUCUUCGGGCUCGAGGGCCUGAAGGUUAAAGCAGUGAUGCGCUUGGAGAUCGGCCCGCCCCCGAUUAGCUUGUUGGUGAGGUCAAAGCUCACCAAGGCGACGAUCGGUAGCUGGUCUGAGAGGAUGGUCAGCCACACUGGGACUGAGAUACGGCCCAGACUCCUACGGGUGGCUG
rnacentral:rRNA from 1 species